rnacentral:rRNA from 1 species
CGGUAGGGGCAAGCGUUGUCCGGAAUCAUUGGGCGUAAAGCGCGUGUAGGCGGUCCGGUAAGUCGGCUGUGAAAGUCCAGGGCUCAACCCUGGGAUGCCGGUCGACACUGCCGGACUAGAGUUCGGAAGAGGCGAGUGGAAUUCCCGGUGUAGCGGUGAAAUGCGCAGAUAUCGGGAGGAACACCAAUGGCGAAGGCAGCUCGCUGGGACGUUACUGACGCUGAGACGCGAAAGCGUGGGGAGCAAACAGGAUUAGAUACCCUGGUAGUCCACGCCGUAAACGAUGGGCACUAGGUGUGGGAGGUGUCGACUCCUCCCGUGCCGGAGCUAACGCAUUAAGUGCCCCGCCUGGGGAGUACGGCCGCAAGGCUA